UACGUGGGGUGCGAGCGUUAAUCGGAAUUACUGGGCGUAAAGCGUGCGCAGGCGGUUUUGUAAGUCAGAUGUGAAAUCCCCGGGCUUAACCUGGGAACUGCGUUUGAAACUACAAGGCUAGAGUGUGGCAGAGGGGGGUGGAAUUCCACGUGUAGCAGUGAAAUGCGUAGAGAUGUGGAGGAACACCGAUGGCGAAGGCAGCCCCCUGGGUUAACACUGACGCUCAGGCACGAAAGCGUGGGGAGCAAACAGG
rnacentral:rRNA from 1 species